rnacentral:tRNA from 1 species
GGAGAGGUGGCAGAGUGGUUGAAUGCGGCGGUCUCGAAAACCGUUAGACGUCGUUCGGCGUCUCGAGGGUUCGAAUCCCUCCCUCUCCGCCA